UCUCCGUUGGUGAACCAGCGGAGGGAUCAUUACUGGAAUCGCAAGACUCCCAACCCCUGUGAACGUACCGAAACGUUGCCUCGGCGGGCCUCGCGCCCGCCGGCGGCACACAACUCUUGUCUCUUGCGUUGGCAUCUCCGAGCAAACAAAAACGAGUCAAAACUUUUAACAACGGAUCUCUUGGUUCUGGCAUCGAUGAAGAACGCAGC
rnacentral:misc_RNA from 1 species